AGUGAACGCUGGCGGUAGGCCUAACACAUGCAAGUCGAACGGCAGCACAGUAAGAGCUUGCUCUUACGGGUGGCGAGUGGAGGACGGGUGAGGAAUACAUCGGAAUCUACUUUUUCGUGGGGGAUAACGUAGGGAAACUUACGCUAAUACCUCAUACGACCUACGGGUGAAAGCAGGGGAUCUUCGGACCUUGCGCGAUUGAAUGAGCCGAUGUCGGAUUAGCUAGUUGGCGCGGUAAAGGCGCACCAAGGCGACGAUCCGUAGCUGGUCUGAGAGGAUGAUCAGGCACACUGGAACUGAGACACGGUCCAGACUCCUACGGGAGGCAGCAGUGGGGAAUAUUGGCUAAUGCGCGCAAGUCCGCUCCAGGCAUUCCGCGUGCGUGUAGAAGGCCUUCGGGUUGUAAAGCACUUUUGUUGGGCAAGAAAAUCAGCAGGUUAAUACCCCGCCGUUCUGACGGUACCCUAAGAAUAAGCACCCGCUAACUUCGUG
rnacentral:rRNA from 1 species